rnacentral:lncRNA from 1 species
CAAAUGUAAUGAAAUCAUUGACUGGCUGUAUAAGAAUCAGACUGCAGAGAAGGAAGAAUUAAACAUCAGCAGAAAGAGCUGGAGAAGGUCUGCAACCCCACUAUCACCAAGCUGUUCCAGAGUGCAGGAGGCAUGCCAGGAGGAAAGCUUGGAGGGUCACCUCUCUGGUGGUGGUACUUCCUCUGGGCCCACUAUUGAAGAGGUUGAUAAUGUCAGUCCAAGUACAGAUUUUGCAUUAUUCUACACAGUAAAAUAUGGAAGCGCCCAAAUUUGUAGCAAAUUACUGGGCAUUCUCAAUACUUGCAUAUAGAAUGGGUACACAGGUAAAGGAAAUAACAUUGUACUUUAUAAGCACUGUAUUGCAAAUGGAAAAUGCAAUGUCUUAAAUAAAACUAUUUAAAAUUGGCAAAAAAAUCCUCAAUAGGUCAAAGUAU